GACGAACGCUGGCGGCGUGCUUAACACAUGCAAGUCGAACGGAAAGGCCCUGCUUUUGUGGGGUGCUCGAGUGGCGAACUGGUGAGUAACACGUGAGUAACCUGCCCUUGACUUUGGGAUAACUUCAUGAAACUUGGGCUAAUACCGGAUAGGAGCUCCUGCUGCAUGGUGGGGGUUGGAAAGUUUCGGCGGUUGGGGAUGGACUCGCGGCUUAUCAGCUUGUUGGUGGGGUAGUGGCUUACCAAGGCUUUGACGGGUAGCCGGCCUGAGAGGGUGACCGGACACAUUGGGACUGAGAUAAGGCCCAGACUACUACGGGAGGCAGCAGUGGAGAAUAUUGCACAAUGGGCGGAAGCCUGAUGCAGCAACGCCGCGUGCGGGAUGACGGCCUUCGGGUUGUAAACCGCUUUCGCCUGUGACGAAGCGUGAGUGACGGUAAUGGGUAAAGAAGCACCGGCUAACUACGUG
rnacentral:rRNA from 1 species